rnacentral:rRNA from 1 species
GCGAACGCUGGCGGCAGGCCUAAUACAUGCAAGUCGAGCGCCCGCAAGGGAGCGGCAGACGGGAGAGUAACACGUGGGAACGUACCCUUCAGUUCGGAACAACCAAGGGAAACUUUGGCUAAUACCGGAUACGUCCGAAAGGAGAAAGAUUUAUCGCUGAAGGAUCGGCCCGCGUCUGAUUAGCUAGUUGGUGGGGUAAUGGCCCACCAAGGCGACGAUCAGUAGCUGGUCUGAGAGGAUGAUCAGCCUCACUGGGACUGAGACACGGCCCAGACUCCUACGGGAGGCAGCAGUAGGGAAUAUUGGACAAUGGGGGCAACCCUGAUCCAGCCAUGCCGCGUGAGUGAUGAAGGCCUUAGGGUUGUAAAGCUCUUUUAACGGGGAAGAUAAUGACGGUACCCGUAG